CAUGUACUCAGGUGAAUAAGAUGCUUGUGUGAUGUUACGUACUCUGAGUGGAUAUCCACACUGGGCAGGCUUGAAAAAUAUGCCUGGCCACAGUGGGAUUUGAACCUACAACCUUUGGAAUACUGGCCCAAUGCUCUGCCAACUGAGCUAUACAGUCGGGGCAGUUCGAGUAUGCGAUAUUUCGGAACUGAGUCUAGUUCCUUCGAUAUCAGUGUAAUCUAAUAACCAUGAUAUUUGUGAAUAUGAUGCUUGUGAUAUGUUACUCCGAGUGCAUAUCCACACCGGGCAAGCUUAAAAAUAUGCCAAGCCACAUUGGGAUUCAAACCGACCUGACCGCGUAGCUCAGUUGACAGAGCAUUGGCAUUUGGGCUAGUAUUCCAAAGGUUGUAGGUUCAAAUCCCACUGUGGCCAGGCAUAUUUUUCAAGCCUGCCCGGUGUGGAUAUACACUCAGAGUAACAUCACACAAGCAUCUCAUUUCAUCAAGUUCCUCCAGAUAUUCAUACACUUCCUGUGAAAGAGCCAAUUCCAAGUAUUUAAUCAUUUCUGGUCACUUCCUUUCUAUUUAUGAUUGGUUAGUUGCACAAACAACAAAGGUGAUUGGUGCAUUCAAACCAUUUAACAGGAAGUUUACAAUUAUACUAGGAAGUGUAUGAAUAUCUUGAGGAACUUAAUGAAAUGAAUUGGUUAGCCCGAGGUAAUGUAUUGAAUCAAUAUUUGAGGAACACUUCAAUUGGAACGACAGUGAAGAAUUAUUAAAAAAAAAUUUUAUUCAAAAAAAGAUUUUCCAAAAUAAUUAUAUAAUUACAUU
rnacentral:lncRNA from 1 species